CAUUAGGCUUCCCUAGAAGCCACCACCAAACAAAACGAAGAAAAU
rfam:Eimeria acervulina, Houghton, WGS project CBTS01000000 data, contig: Eah_contig1267_3